GUUGGGGGGAGGAAACGUUAGCAGGUUGGGGGGGGAGGAAACGUUAGCAGGUUGGGGGGAGGAAACGUUAGCAGGUUGGGGGGGGAGGAAACGUUAGCAGGUUGGGGGGAGGAAACGUUAGCAGGUUGGGGGGGGAGGAAACGUUAGCAGGUUGGGGGGGGAGGAAACGUUAGCAGGUUGGGGGGGAGGAAACGUUAGCAUAACAUUGCUCACUUAAAAACAACCACAGCCCUGUCAUAAUCUUCUUCUUCCUGUCUGGAACCCGGUCGGCGUGGUAACGCGUUGUGUGGUAACCGCGGUGAUUAGGCUGACGAUGUCGGAGAUUGUCAUGGCAACGUGAGGGCUGGCGAUAGGGUGGAGUGGAGGGAUGGAGGAGCGAGAGAGGAGAAAAUAGAUGGAGAUACUGUAAAUAAAGGGAGAGAAAAUAGAGGGAGGAGAGAAGAGAGAGAAUAGUGAGGGAGGAGAGAGAAUACUGAGGGAGGAGAGAGAGAAUAGUGAGGGAGGAGAGAAGAGAGAGAAUAGUGAGGGAGGAGAGAGAAUACUGAGGGAGGAGAGAGAGAAUAGUGAGGGAGGAGAGAGAGAAUAGUGAGGGAGGAGAGAGAGAAUAGUGAGGGAGGAGAGAGAGAGAAUAGUGAGGGAGGAGAGAGAGAAUACUGAGGGAGGAGAGAGAGAAUAGUGAGGGAGGAGAGAGAGAGAAUAGUGAGGGAGGAGAGAGAGAAUAGUGAGGGAGGAGAGAGAGAAUAGUGAGGGAGGACAGAGAGAAUAGUGAGGGAGGAGAGAGAGAGUAGUGAGGGAGGAGAGGGGGAAUAGUGAUGGAGGAGAGAGAGAAUAGUGAGGGAGGAGAGAGAGAAUAGUGAGGGAGGAGAGAGAGAAUAGUGAGGCAGGAGAGAGAGAAUAGUGAGGGAGGAGAGAGAGAAUAGUGAGGGAGGAGAGAGAGAAUAGUGAGGGAGGAGAGAGAGAAUAGUGAGGGAGGAGUGAGAGAAUAGUGAGGGAGGAGAGAGAGAAUAGUGAGGGAGGAGAGAGAGAAUAGUGAGGGAGGAGAGAGAGAAUAGUGAGGGAGGAGAGAGAGAGAAUAGUGAGAGAGGAGAGAGAGAAUAGUGAGGGAGGAGAGAGAGAAUAGUGAGGGAGGAGAGAGAAUAGUGAGGGAGGAGAGAGAAUACUGAGGGAGGAGAGAGAGAAUAGUGAGGGAGGAGAGAGAAUAGUGAGGGAGGAGAGAGAAUAGUGAGGGAGGAGAGAGAAUAGUGAGGGAGGAGAGAGAGAGAGAAUAGUGAGGGAGGAGAGAGAGAAUAGUGAGGGAGGAGAGAGAGAAUACUGAGGGAGGAGAGAGAAUACUGAGGGAGGAGAGAGAAUAGUGAGGGAGGAGAGAGAGAAUAGUGAGGGAGGAGAGAGAGAAUAGUGAGGGAGGAGAGAGAGAAUAGUGAGGGAGGAGAGAGAGAAUAGUGAGGGAGGAGAGAGAGAGAAUAGUGAGGGAGGAGAGAGAGAAUAGUGAGGGAGGAGAGAGAGAAUAGUGAGGGAGGAGAGAGAGAAUAGUGAGGGAGGCGAGAGAGAGAGAAUAGUGAGGGAGGAGAGGGGUAAUAGUGAUGGAGGAGAGAGAGAAUAGUGAGGGAGGAGAGAGAGAAUAGUGAGGGAGGAGAGAGAGAAUAGUGAGGAAGGAGAGAGAGAAUAGUGAGGGAGGAGAGAGAGAAUAGUGAGGGAGGAGAGAGAGAAUAGUGAGGGAGGAGAGAGAGAAUAUUGAGGGAGGAGAGAGAGAGAAUAGUGAGGGAGGAGAGAGAGAGAAUAGUGAGGGAGGAGAGAGAGAGAAUAGUGAGGGAGGAGAGAGAGAAUAGUGAGGGAGGAGAGAGAGAAUAGUGAGGGAGGAGAGAGAGAAUAGUGAGGGAGGAGAGAGGGCUCUGCAGUAAAGUCGAGGGAUUGGAGAUGAGCCACCAUCAGACCCCCCCCCCUCAGCUUGAAGUGAGGACUCUGUUUCAAACUUUAUCGUGGAAUUUCAGCGUUUUAGCGUGACUGGAAUUUAAAGGCAACGUCGCCGCGUCUAGCGUGGAGACAGCGUUCACGUUAAACGCUGUGUAUGUC
rnacentral:lncRNA from 1 species